UUAUCGGAGAGUUUGAUCCUGGCUCAGGACGAACGCUGGCGGCGUGCCUAAUACAUGCAAGUCGAGCGGACAGAUGGGAGCUUGCUCCCUGAUGUUAGCGGCGGACGGGUGAGUAACACGUGGGUAACCUGCCUGUAAGACUGGGAUAACUCCGGGAAACCGGGGCUAAUACCGGAUGGUUGUUUGAACCGCAUGGUUCAGACAUAAAAGGUGGCUUCGGCUAUCACUUACAGAUGGACCCGCGGCGCAUUAGCUAGUUGGUGAGGUAACGGCGCACCACGGCAACGACGCGAACACGAC
rnacentral:rRNA from 1 species